rnacentral:misc_RNA from 1 species
GUGGACAAGUUCAGCUCUUCUGAUUCCCCUGAGGAGCAUGCUAAUGCAGCUGAAACACUUUGUGCCAUAACAAGAUUUGCUCCCUCUGGUCUUGCUGCUAAAAUCUCUAGCCCAAACUUCAUUGGCAGAUUGUUUAGUCAUGCUUUGGAAGAAUCACGCCCAAAAUCUGUCCUUGUUAACUCGUUGUCUAUAUGCAUAUGCUUGUUAGACCCUAAAAGGCUAACUUUGGGGACAUAUCAUACAUAUAAUCGCCAGCUUAAUCAUGGGUCCACAGUAACUUCCAGUCCUGAGACAGUAGAAGGGAUGCUGGAGAGCUUAGGUGAUCUCCUGAAGCUUUUGGAUGUUUCAUCUGCAGAAGAUGUCUUGUUGACUACAUAUGGUAAAUUGCAGCCGCCCCUGGGAAAGCAUCGUUUGAAGAUUGUAGA